rfam:Picea glauca, whole genome shotgun sequence.
ACAUGCUUACAUCAUAACAUUAAUGCACCAGAUCCCAUUAGAACUCCGUAGUUAAGCACGCUCAAGAUAGAGUAGUACUGGGAUGGGUGACUACCAGGGAAGUAUUAGUAUUUCACAUGCC